rnacentral:rRNA from 1 species
UACGUAGGUGGCAAGCGUUAUCCGGAUUUAUUGGGCGUAAAGGGAACGCAGGCGGUCUUUUAAGUCUGAUGUGAAAGCCUUCGGCUUAACCGGAGUAGUGCAUUGGAAACUGGGAGACUUGAGUGCAGAAGAGGAGAGUGGAACUCCAUGUGUAGCGGUGAAAUGCGUAGAUAUAUGGAAGAACACCAGUGGCGAAAGCAGCUCUCUGGUCUGUAACUGACGCUGAGGUUCGAAAGCGUGGGUAGCAAACAGG